rnacentral:tRNA from 1 species
GGGUGCAUAGGUCAGCUGGAUAGAGCAACGCCCUUCUAAGGCGUGUGUUCGGGGUUCGAAUCACUGUGCGCUCA